CUAUUUCAAUCUUUCUAGGGCUAAGUAUUAUAUCCUUUGCCUCACAAGGGUUCGAGUGAUUUAUCCUUAGGCAUGACCCUAAGAUAUAAUUCGUGAGUUUGUCGUAUUAUUAUUUUGUGCUGGUCAAUUUGAAGAAGCAUUCUUUAUGUAUUUAAUUGUAAUUGUGUCUACUUAGAGGAGCUGUCUUGAUUUAUUUGCAUAACAUGUACUUU
rnacentral:lncRNA from 1 species